CCAUUUUUUCCUUUAAGAAAUGCCAUUUGGCAGGCCUGUUUCUCCUCCCUAAUCUUGUUCCUUUCAUUCCCUCUCUCUUUCUUAACGCAAGAAAACCAUAGUUCCUUCCAUUUUCUCAAGAAACAAACAACAACCCACCAAAACCCAUUAUCUAGAAAUCCCAUUGACAUAGUUCUAUUUCUCUCAUUCAUCAUAAUUACGAAAUCCUUUCUCUCUCUGCCGCUCCACCUUUUUUCAAAGUUCAAAACAAAAUAUACUGGAACUUGACCAUGCACAUCCGUCUUCUCAUAUCCGUUCUCAAAUAGAAUAUAAAAAUCACCGCCUAGUUCUACCAUUGUUUUGGGGUUAAUUAUGGGAACAACAACAUCGUCAAUGGCGGCGAAAUUCGCCUUCUUCCCACCUAACCCACCGUCUUAUAACAUAGUAGUUGAUGAAGAAACUGGGAAACUGAGAAUCUCAGAUGUCCAACAGAAAGACGACGUGGACGUGUUGAAGCUUUCCACAAAGAAAGGGAAUGAGAUUGUUGCCAUAUACGUGAAGAACCCAUUAGCUUCAUUGACUGUCCUAUACUCUCAUGGCAACGCUGCUGAUCUUGGCCAGAUGUAUCAUAUCUUCACUGAGCUUAGCCAACACCUUAAUGUUAAUCUUAUGGGGUACGAUUAUUCUGGGUAUGGACAGUCUUCUGGAAAGCCAAGUGAACAAGAUACAUAUGCUGAUAUAGAUGCUGCAUAUAUAUGCCUGGAAGAGACUUAUGGAGUGAAGGAGGAAGAUAUUAUAUUGUAUGGUCAAUCAGUAGGGAGUGGACCUACUCUUGAAUUGGCUACUCGUUUGCCUCAAUUAAGAGCUGUGAUUCUUCACAGUCCUAUCCUCUCAGGCCUUCGUGUCAUGUAUCCUGUCAAGAAAACAUUCUGGUUCGACAUUUACAAGAAUAUUGAUAAGAUUCCGCUAGUUAAUUGCCCAGUUCUGGUAAUUCAUGGAACAGAAGAUGAAGUCGUUGACUUUUCCCAUGGUAAGCAGUUGUGGGAGCUCUGCAAAGAGAAGUAUGAACCCUUGUGGCUUAAAGGAGGAAGCCACUGCAACUUGGAACUCUACCCAGAGUACUUACGGCAUCUUAGGAAGUUCAUAUCUGCCAUUGAGAAGCUGCCUCCGCAUCUUAGAAAUGGACCUGGACAAAGCACAGAUCAGCCUGAUCAGCCUUCGAACACCCCAGAUUCCAAUAAGGAAAAAUCAAGGCCAAGCACAGAUCAUAGAGAUAAGGCUAGGCCUAGUACUGGGCAGAAAGAAAAAUCCAGGCUAAGCACAGACAGCAGAGAGAAAGGAAGAGCAAGCACUGACAGGAGAGAGAAGUCGAGAAAGAGCAUUGAUCGCACAGCAAAAGCAAGGAACAGCACUGAUCAGCCAGAGAAAGCAAGAAACAGCCUCGACCGGUUGGGAGACAUGGUUAGAUCUGUGGGAUUGUGCAAUGUCGAUUGUUUGAAACAGACAGCUUCUGAGGCCUGAUAUAGGAAAGUUAGUGCUUGAAAGUGGGAUGUAAUAUCCUUUCCUAGAUUCUCUGUUUGGUUUAUUGGUUGGGUUCUUGUGGAGGUGCUGCUCUUUUCUAUUUGCAAUACACAAAAGCAAAUAAUUUAACUAGCUAGAGUGCUUAUAUCUGCCAUGAAGAGAGGCUACAGAUUCAUUCAGGGACAAAAUAGCUUGCCUGUGCUCUGUCGGUACAUGGCAAGGAAGCUUGCGCUUAUUCUCCAAGCCACUGCCCUCCAGAUUUUGCAUCCCUUUGUGAAACCCAUAUUUAUUUUGAGUCAAGAAUUGUGUAAUGCGAGCAUCACAAAUCUCCACAGAUAAAUUCAUCCAUGAGCUGAAGUUGUAAAAAUUACAGUUACCAAUGAAAAAGAGCAGUCAAUCUCAAGAUUGGCUAUUUCUUUUAA